rnacentral:rRNA from 1 species
GUUGUGAGAGCAAGAGCCCGGAGAUGGAUUCUGAGACACGAAUCCAGGCCCUACGGGGUGCAGCAGGCGCGAAAACUUUACAAUGCCGGCAACGGCGAUAAGGGGACCUCGAGUGCCAGGUUACAAAUCUGGCUGUCGUGAUGCCUAAAAAGCAUUGCAUAGCAAGGGCCGGGCAAGACCGGUGCCAGCCGCCGCGGUAACACCGGCGGCUCGAGUGGUAACCGUUAUUAUUGGGUCUAAAGGGUCUGUAGCCGGCCGGAUAAGUCUCUUGAGAAAUCCAGCAGCUCAACUGUUGGGCUUUCAGGAGAUACUGUCUGGCUCGAGGCCGGGAGAGGUGAGAGGUACUUCAGGGGUAGGGGUGAAAUCUUGUAAUCCUUGAAGGACCACCAGUGGCGAAGGCGUCUCACCAGAACGGACCUGACGGCAAGGGACGAAAGCUAGGGGCACGAACCGGAUUAGAUACCCGGGUAGUCCUAGCCGUAAACGAUACUCGCUAGGUGUCGGCCACGGUGCGACCGUUGUCGGUGCCGUAGGGAAGCCGUGAAGCGAGC